rnacentral:hammerhead_ribozyme from 1 species
AUCCUGCUGAUGAGCCCGAAAUAGGACGAAACAUGCGUCCCGGAU